UACGUAGAUGGCAAGCGUUGUCCGGAUUUACUGGGUGUAAAGGGCGUGUAGCCGGGCUUACAAGUCAGAUGUGAAAUCCGGGGGCUCAACCCCCGAACUGCAUUUGAAACUGUAGGUCUUGAGUAUCGGAGAGGCAGGCGGAAUUCCUAGGGUAGCGGUGAAAUGCGUAGAUAUUAGGAGGAACCCCAGUGGCGAAGGCGGCCUGCUGGACGACAACUGACGGUGAGGCGCGAAAGCGUGGGGAGCAAACAGG
rnacentral:rRNA from 1 species